ACAUGCAAGUCGAGGGGCAGCAUGGUCUUAGCUUGCUAAGGCUGAUGGCGACCGGCGCACGGGUGAGUAACACGUAUCCAACCUGCCGUCUACUCUUGGCCAGCCUUCUGAAAGGAAGAUUAAUCCAGGAUGGGAUCAUGAGUUCACAUGUCCGCAUGAUUAAAGGUAUUUUCCGGUAGACGAUGGGGAUGCGUUCCAUUAGAUAGUAGGCGGGGUAACGGCCCACCUAGUCAACGAUGGAUAGGGGUUCUGAGAGGAAGGUCCCCCACAUUGGAACUGAGACACGGUCCAAACUCCUACGGGAGGCAGGAGUGAGGAAUAUUGGUCAAUGGGCGAUGGCCUGAACCAGCCAAGUAGCGUGAAGGAUGACUGCCCUAUGGGUUGUAAACUUCUUUUAUAAAGGAAUAAAGUCGGGUAUGCAUACCCGUUUGCAUGUACUUUAUGAAUAAGGAUCGGCUAACUCCGUGCCAGCAGCCGCGGUAAUACGGAGGAUCCGAGCGUUAUCCGGAUUUAUUGGGUUUAAAGGGAGCGUAGAUGGAUGUUUAAGUCAGUUGUGAAAGUUUGCGGCUCAACCGUAAAAUUGCAGUUGAUACUGGAUGUCUUGAGUGCAGUUGAGGCAGGCGGAAUUCGUGGUGUAGCGGUGAAAUGCUUAGAUAUCACGAAGAACUCCGAUUGCGAAGGCAGCCUGCUAAGCUGCAACUGACAUUGAGGCUCGAAAGUGUGGGUAUCAAACAGGAUUAGAUACCCUGGUAGUCCACACGGUAAACGAUGAAUACUCGCUGUUUGCGAUAUACGGCAAGCGGCCAAGCGAAAGCGUUAAGUAUUCCACCUGGGGAGUACGCCGGCAACGGUGAAACUCAAAGGAAUUGACGGGGGCCCGCACAAGCGGAGGAACAUGUGG
rnacentral:rRNA from 1 species